GUUAGUGUUAGGGUUAGUGUUAGUGUUAGGGUUAUUGUUAGAGUUAGGGUUAGGUUUAGUGUCAGAUUUAGGCUUAGGUAUAGGGUUAGUGUUAGGGUUUAUGUUAUGUUUAGUAUUAGGAUUUGUUUUAGGCUUAUGUUGAGGGUUAUGGUGAGGGUUACGGUUAGAGUGACGGGUUGGGUUAGUGUUAGGAAUAGUGUCUGGGUAAGGGUUAGUGUUAGUUUUUGGCAUAGUGUUAGGGUUAGUGUUAGGGUUAGGGUAAGGGUGAGUUCUAAUUUUAGUGUUAGUGUUAGGAUUAUGGUUAGGAUUACAGUUAGGAUUAGGUUUAGGGUUAGGGUUACUGUUAGGGUAUUGUUAGGGUGAAGGUUAGGGUUAGUGUUAGGGUUAUGUAUAAUGUUAGGGUUAGGUUUAGUGUUAGGGUUUGGGUUAGAGUUAGGUUUAGUUUAGAGUUAGGGUUAGCAUUAGGUUUCAUGUGAGGGUUAAGGUUAGGAUUAAUGUUAGGUUACAUUAAAAUUAGGGUUAGGAUUAGGGUUAGUGUUAGGGAUAGGAUUAGGUUUAGGUUUAGGUUUAGUGUUAGGGUUAGGGUUACAGAUACUGUUUGGUUUAGUGUUAGGGUAAGAUAUAUG
rnacentral:lncRNA from 1 species